GUGCCAGCAGCCGCGGUAAUACGUAGGGUGCAAGCGUUAAUCGGAAUUACUGGGCGUAAAGGGUGCGCAGGCGGCUCCGCAUGUCGGGCGUGAAAUCCCCGGGCUUAACCUGGGAAUUGCGUCCGAAACUAUGGAGCUGGAGUGUGGCAGAGGGAGGUGGAAUUCCACGUGUAGCGGUGAAAUGCGUAGAGAUGUGGAGGAACACCGAUGGCGAAGGCAGCCUCCUGGGCCAACACUGACGCUCAUGCACGAAAGCGUGGGGAGCAAACAGGAUUAGAAACCCUCGUAGUCC
rnacentral:rRNA from 1 species